rnacentral:rRNA from 1 species
AGUGAACGCUGGCGGCAGGCCUAACACAUGCAAGUCGAACGGAAGAACGGAGCUUGCUCGUGGAUGCGGGGGGGGACGGGUGGAAGAUGCCUAGGAAACUGGCUGGCAAUUGGGGAGAACGUGCGAACACAGGCGGUAAUACCCCAUAGGCCCAGACGGAGAACGUGGGGGAGCUUGGGACCUCACGCCAUCACAUGAGCGUAGGUGGGACUCCCUAGUUGGCGGGGUAAAGGCAUACCAAUGCGACGAUCCGUAACUUGUCUGAAAGGAUGAGCAGUCACACUGGAAGUGAGACACGGUCCAGACUCCUACGGGAGGCCGCAGUGGGGAAUAUUGGACAAUGGGCGAAAGCCUGAUCCAGCCAUGCCGCGUGUGUGAAGAAGGUCUUCGGUUUGUAAAACCCUUUAGGUUGGGAGGAAGAGCAGUAGGUUAAUACCUCGCUGUUUUGACGUUACCAAAAGAAUAAGCACCGGCUAACUUCGUG